GGGGAAUAUUGGACAAUGGGGGAAACCCUGAUCCAGCGACGCCGCGUGAGUGAAGAAGUAUUUCGGUAUGUAAAGCUCUAUCAGCAGGGAAGAAAAUGACGGUACCUGACUAAGAAGCCCCGGCUAACUACGUGCCAGCAGCCGCGGUAAUACGUAGGGGGCAAGCGUUAUCCGGAUUUACUGGGUGUAAAGGGAGCGUAGACGGCACUGCAAGUCUGGAGUGAAAGCCCGGGGCUCAACCCCGGGACUGCUUUGGAAACUGUGGUGCUAGAGUGCAGGAGAGGUAAGUGGAAUUCCUAGUGUAGCGGUGAAAUGCGUAGAUAUUAGGAGGAACACCAGUGGCGAAGGCGGCUUACUGGACUGUAACUGACGUUGAGGCUCGAAAGCGUGGGGAGCAAAC
rnacentral:rRNA from 1 species